rnacentral:rRNA from 1 species
ACGAACGCUGGCGGCGUGCUUCACCCAUGCCAGUCGCACGGAAAGGCCCUGCUUUUGUGGGGUGCUCGAGUGGCGAACGGGUGAGUAACACGUGAGUAACCUGCCCUUGACUUUGGGAUAACCUCAGGAAACUGGGGCUAAUACCGGAUAGGAGCUCCUGCUGCAUGGUGGGGGUUGGAAAGUUUCGGCGGUUGGGGAUGGACUCGCGGCUUAUCAGCUUGUUGGUGGGGUAGUGGCUUACCAAGGCUUUGACGGGUAGCCGGCCUGAGAGGGUGACCGGCCACAUUGGGACUGAGAUACGGCCCAGACUCCUACGGGAGGCAGCAGUGGGGAAUAUUGCACAAUGGGCGGAAGCCUGAUGCAGCAACGCCGCGUGCGGGAUGACGGCCUUCGGGUUGUAAACCGCUUUCGCCUGUGACGAAGCGUGAGUGACGGUAAUGGGUAAAGAAGCACCGGCUAACUACGUG